GCCGUAAACGAUGUCGACUUGGAGGUUGUUUCCAAGAGAAGUGACUUCCGAAGCUAACGCAUUAAGUCGACCGCCUGAGGAGUACGGCCGCAAGGCUAAAACUCAAAUGAAUUGACGGGGGCCCGCACAAGCGGUGGAGCAUGUGGUUUAAUUCGAUGCAACGCGAAAAACCUUACCUGGUCUUGACAUCCAUAAAAUUUUUUAGAAAUAAAAAAGUGCCUUCGGGAAUUAUGAGACAGGUGCUGCAUGGCUGUCGUCAGCUCGUGUUGUGAAAUGUUGGGUUAAGUCCCGCAACGAGCGCAACCCUUAUCCCCUGUUGCCAGCGGUUCGGCCGGGAACUCAGAGGAGACUGCCGGUUAUAAACCGGAGGAAGGUGGGGACGACGUCAAGUCAUCAUGGCCCUUACGACCAGGGCUACACACGUGCUACAAUGGUUUAUACAAAGAGAAGCAAAUCUGUAAAGACAAGCAAACCUCAUAAAGUAAAUCGUAGUCCGGACUGGAGUCUGCAACUCGACUCCACGAAGUCGGAAUCGCUAGUAAUCGUGGAUCAGAAUGCCACGGUGAAUACGUUCCCGGGCCUUGUACACACCGCCCGUCACACCAUGGGAGUGGGUUGCAAAAGAAGCAGGUAUCCUAACCCCUUAAAAGGAAGGCGCCUACCACUUUGUGAUUCAUGACUUGGGGUGAAGUCGUAACAAGGUAACCGUAGGGGAACCUGC
rnacentral:rRNA from 1 species